CUGGUCUUCUUGCAAAAACUAGUAACGUAAAUUGAGGUUGGUCAUAUGACCUAACUCUUUUAAUAUAAAAGAAGUGCGCAAAAUUCGACAAUGUAGGUUUCCAUAACCAGUGCUACAGAUCACAACAACCAUGUUUAAAUUGCUUUUCUUCUUUGCCUUGUUGGCCGUUGCCGCUUUGGCUCUUCCUGCACCUCAGCCAAACCCUCAAUUCUACUCUGUGGGAGCAGUACCUGCGUACCCCUACGCUGCCUAUCCCUAUGCCUAUGGAGUAGGCUCAUAUGUGUACUAAGAAUUCUGGAACUCGAUGAAACUACGGCCACGUAUUUUUGUUUUUUUUAUUAUUAGUGCGUUUGUUUAAUUAGAUGUCUGCUCUGUAAUAUGUAAAAAAAAUAAAAGUUUAAAAAAGAA